UACGUAGGGGGCAAGCGUUGUCCGGAUUUACUGGGCGUAAAGGGCUCGUAGGUGGCCAACUAAGUCAGACGUGAAAUCCCUCGGCUUAACCGGGGAACUGCGUCUGAUACUGGAUGGCUUGAGUUUGGGAGAGGGAUGCGGAAUUCCAGGUGUAGCGGUGAAAUGCGUAGAUAUCAGGAGGAACACCAAUUGCGAAGGCAGCUCGCUGGGACGUGACUGACGCUGAGACGCGAAAGCGUGGGGAGCAAACAGG
rnacentral:rRNA from 1 species